rnacentral:misc_RNA from 1 species
GAUGAAGAACGUAGCGAAAUGCGAUACUUGGUGUGAAUUGCAGAAUCCCGUGAACCAUCGAGUCUUUGAACGCAAGUUGCGCCCGAAGCCACUAGGCCGAGGGCACGCCUGCCUGGGCGUCACACGCCGUUGCCCCCCCAUCUACUCCUUCGGGAUUGCGGGGGGGCGGAUGAUGGCCUCCCGUGCGCCUAGCCGCGCGGUUGGCAUAAAUACCAAGUCCUCGGCGACGCACGCCACGACAAUCGGUGGUUGCGAAACCUCGGUUGCCCGUCGUGUGCGUUCGUCGCGCAUCGAGGGCUCGAAAAAAUGCUCGGCUCCGGCUGGGCUUUCAACGCGACCCCAGGUCAGGCGGGGUUACCCGCUGAAUUUAAGCAUAUUCAAUAAGCGGAGGA